UACAAUUUACAACGGAUAAUCUCGGCUCUCGCAUCGAUGAAGAACGUAGCGAAAUGCGAUACUUGGUGUGAAUUGCAGAAUCCCGUGAACCAUCGAGUCUUUGAACGCAAGUUGCGCCCGAAGCCAUUAGGCCGAGGGCACGUCUGCCUGGGCGUCA
rnacentral:rRNA from 1 species